UUAUAUGCUUGUCUCAAAGAUUAAGCCAUGCAUGUCUAAGUACAAGCUGUAUGAGGCGAAACUGCGGAUGGCUCAUUAAAUCAGUCAUAGUUCCUUGGAUCGAGUUUCCCUUACAUGGAUAACUGUGGUAAUUCUAGAGCUAAUACAUGCCACGAAGCGCCGACCUUACGGAAGGCGUGCUUUUAUUAGGAUCAAGACCAACACGGGCUUGCCCGGAUUCGUUGGUGAACUCUGGAUAACUUCGCAGAUCGCAUUGUCAUCGAACAGGCGACAUUUCUUUCAAACGUCUGACCUAUCAAUUUUCGAUGGUACGAUAUGCGCCUACCAUGGUGCUAACAGGUGACGGGGAAUCAAGCGGAUACCACAUCCAAGGAAGGCAGCAGGCGCGCAAAUUACCCACUCUCGACACGAGGAGGUAGUGACGAAAAAUAACAAUACAGGACUCUUUCGAGGCCCUGUAAUUGGAAUGAGUACACUUUAAAUCCUUUAACGAGGAUCUACUGGAGGGCAAGUCUGGUGCAGCUCCAGUGGCGUAUAUUAAUACUGCUGCAGUUAAAAAGCUCGUAGUUGGAUCUAGGGCGUAGGCUGAGGGUCCCUCGCAAGGGGUGCACCUCUCAGACCUGGCCUCCCUCGCGGUUUGCGCUCGGUUCUCUUAAUUGAGUGCCGAGUGCUACCGGAACGUUUACUUUGAAAAAAUUGGAGUGUUCAAAGCAGGCGUAACAGCCUGAACAGCAGAGCAUGGAAUAAUGGAAUAGGACCUCGGUUCUAUUGCGUUGGUUUUAAGAGUUACGAGGUAAUGAUUAAGAGGGACUGACGGGGGCAUUCGUAUUGCGGGGU
rnacentral:rRNA from 1 species